GCUAAAUACUCCUUAGUGACCGAUAGCGCAUAGUACUGUGAAGGAAAGGUGAAAAGGACCCCGGGAGGGGAGUGAAAGAGAACCUGAAACCCUGUGUUUACAAGCUGUGGGACAUCUUUACAUGAUGAACCGCGUACUUUUUGUAGAACGGUCCGGCGAGUUGCGGAUGCCGGCAAGGUUAAGCACUUAAGGUGUGGAGCCGAAGGGAAACCAAGUCUGAAGAGGGCGCAUAUAGUCAGUAUCCGCAGACCCGAAACCGGGUGAUCUACCCAUGUCCAGGUUGAAGUUGCCGUAAAAGGCAAUGGAGGACCGAACGCACAUCCGUUGAAAAGGGUGGCGAUGAGGUGUGGGUAGGGGAGAAAUUCCAAUCGAACCCGGAGAUAGCUGGUUCUCCUCGAAAUAGCUUUAGGGCUAGCCUCGUUUUAGUCUUAUGGAGGUAGAGCACUGAAUUUCCGCGGGGGCGUCAAAGCUUACCAAAGAAUAUCAAACUCCGAAUGCCAUGUAGAUGAUGAACGGGAGUCAGACUGCACGAGAUAAGUUGGGCAGUCAAAAGGGAAAGAGCCCAGACCGCCAGCCAAGGUCCCAAAGUGUGUGUUAAGUGGAAAAGGAUGUGGGAUCUCCAAGACAACUAGGAUGUUGGCUCAGAAGCAGCCACACAUUCAAAGAGUGCGUAACAGCUCACUAGUCGAGAGGUCCUGCGCCGAAAAUGUCCGGGGCUGAAACACAACACCGAAGCUGCGGAAUUGCGAAUGCAAUUGGUAGAGGAGCAUUCUUAAUACCGACGAAGCUGUACCGGAAGGAGCAGUGGAGGGAUAAGAAGAGAGAAUGCCGGAAUGAGUAGCGAGAGAGAGGUGGGAAUCCUCUCGGCCGAAUAUCCAAGGUUUCCAGAGUAAAGCUGAUCUGCUCUGGGUAAGUCGGGGCCUAAGGCGAGGUCAAAAGACGUAGCCGAUGGACAACAGGUUUAGAUUCCUGUACCGCAUAUAAACAGAACUGUGGGGACGCAUGGGGAGAGCAUGGGCCGGGAAUGGAAAUACCGGUGCAAGCGAAGGAGGUGUGCAGCCGGCAAAUCCGCUGCAUGAGCCGAAAGCGUGACGCGGAGCGAAAUAAAAGUAGCGAAGCAUGUGAGCCCUGUGCCGAGAAAAGCCGCUAUUGUUUUAUAUGUGCCCGUACCGUAAACCGACACAGGUGGAUGAGGAGAGAAUCCUAAGGCCGGCGGAAGAAGUAUUGUUAAGGAACUCGGCAAAAUGACCCCGUAACUUCGGGAGAAGGGGUGCCCACGGGAGUGGGCCGCAGAGAAUAGGCUCAAGCAACUGUUUAGCAAAAACACAGGUCUAUGCGAAACCGAAAGGUGAAGUAUAUGGGCUGACGCCUGCCCGGUGCUGGAAGGUUAAGAGGAGAGGUUAGAGCAAUCGAAGCUUUGAAUUUAAGCCCCAGUAAACGGCGGCCGUAACUAUAACGGUCCUAAGGUAGCGAAAUUCCUUGUCGGGUAAGUUCCGACCC
rnacentral:rRNA from 1 species